rnacentral:rRNA from 1 species
UACGGAGGAUCCAAGCGUUAUCCGGAAUCAUUGGGUUUAAAGGGUCCGUAGGCGGUUUAGUAAGUCAGUGGUGAAAGCCCAUCGCUCAACGGUGGAACGGCCAUUGAUACUGCUAGACUUGAAUUAUUAGGAAGUAACUAGAAUAUGUAGUGUAGCGGUGAAAUGCUUAGAGAUUACAUGGAAUACCAAUUGCGAAGGCAGGUUACUACUAAUGGAUUGACGCUGAUGGACGGAAGCGUGGGUAGCGAACAGG